GAACGCUGGCGGCGUGCCUAACACACGCAAGUCGAGCGAGAAACUCAUGACCAAUACUCGGUUGCGUGAUGAGCGGAAAGCGGCGGACGGGUGAGUAACGCGUAGGCAACCUGCCCCUUGCAGAGGGAUAGCCUCGGGAAACCGGGAUUAAAACCUCAUAACGCAUCAUGGAGACAUCUUCGAGAUGCCAAAGAUUUAUCGGCAAGGGAUGGGCCUGCGUCUGAUUAGUUAGUUGGUGGGGUAACGGCCUACCAAGGCAGCGAUCAGUAGCCGACCUGAGAGGGUGAUCGGCCACAUUGGAACUGAGACACGGUCCAAACUCCUACGGGAGGCAGCAGUGGGGAAUAUUGCACAAUGGGCGAAAGCCUGAAUGCAGCAACGCCGCGUGAAGGAUGAAGGCCCUUGGGUCGUAAACUUCUGUUCUAAGGGAAGAUAAUGACGGUACCUUAGGAGCAAGUCCCGGCUAACUACGUGCCAGCCGCUGC
rnacentral:rRNA from 1 species